GUUUACUGUUGAAUUUGAUCAUUAUUAUAGCAAAGAACUAUAUAUACAAAUGUAAAUUGUAUGAAAAGAAACCAAGUAUUAUAGGGCUAUUAGCAAAAAUAGAAAAAUAUCAGGAAAAUGAACAUUAUAUAGCAAAGAAAAAUGGUACCACACCUUAUUUUCAAAAAUUCUGGGCCCCAGUAGAUUACAUUUUUACUGAUUAGUCACCAUUACUUUUGAUUCAAAUCAUAUAAAAUAAAAAAUAAAACUUAAUUUAUAAAGAGCAGAUCUUUACAAAGAUAACAUUUUUCUUUGCAAUACACAAGUUGAUAUAUGUUAUGUUAAUGCAAGUGCGAGAGUGUGUGUGUGUAUGUGUGUGUGAUUGUU
rnacentral:lncRNA from 1 species